rnacentral:rRNA from 1 species
CAGUAGCCACGGUAAUACGUAGGGGGCAAGCGUUAUCCGGAAUUACUGGGUGUAAAGGGAGCGUAGACGGUUAAACAAGUCUGAAGUGAAAUGCCGGGGCUCAACCCCGGAGCUGCUUUGGGAACUGUAGAACUGGAGUGUCGGAGGGGUAAGCGGAAUUCCCAGUGUAGCGGUGAAAUGCGUAGAUAUUGGGAGGAACACCGGCGGCGAAGGCGGCUUACUGGACGACAACUGACGUUGAGGCUCGAAGGCGUGGGUAGCAAACAGGAUUAGAUACCCCCGUAGUCCCUGUCUCUUAUAC